UACGUAGGGUGCAAGCGUUAAUCGGAAUUACUGGGCGUAAAGCGCGCGUAGGCGGCUAAUUAAGUCAAAUGUGAAAUCCCCGGGCUCAACCUGGGAACUGCAUUCAAAACUGACUGACUAGAGUAUGGUAGAGGGUGGUGGAAUUUCCUGUGUAGCGGUGAAAUGCGUAGAUAUAGGAAGGAACACCAGUGGCGAAGGCGACCACCUGGACUGAUACUGACACUGAGGUGCGAAAGCGUGGGGAGCAAACAGG
rnacentral:rRNA from 1 species